UACGGAGGGGGCUAGCGUUGUUCGGAAUCACUGGGCGUAAAGCGCACGUAGGCGCUUUGCAAGUCAGAGGUGAAAGCCCGGGGCUCAACCCCCGGAAUUGCCUUUGAGACUGCAUCGCUAGAAUUGUGGAGAGGUAAGUGGAAUUCCGAGUGUAGAGGUGAAAUUCGUAGAUAUUCGGAAGAACACCAGUGCGAAGGCGACUUACUGGACACAUAUUGACGCUGAGGUGCGAAAGCGUGGGGAGCAAACAGG
rnacentral:rRNA from 1 species